rnacentral:lncRNA from 1 species
AUGGCGUCUUAUGUAGAUAAGUUCAUUUGCUCUCCAUCAGAGGAAUUGUUAGAUUUAGGUACUAAAGAACAGCUGUUGAAGGUCGCGGAACACUACAAGGUUGAGAUUAGUGAUAAACGUCUAAAGAAUUCUAUUAGGUUGAUAUUGAAAGCCAAUCUGAUGGAGAGUGGUAUUCUUGAAGUUACCACUGGGCCAGCCUCUGCUGAGGAUUUGCCAUCUCCCCAUAACGUUACAAUAGCCAUUCCAUCGGUUAGCCCUAGUAGCCUUCUUUUUGAACAGCAGAAAGAACUGCUUUUGUUACAGCUGGAGCAUGAUCGUGAGAAGAGAGAGCAUGAUCGUGAGAAGAGAGAGCAUGAUCGGCAGCAUGAUCGUGAGAAGCUAGAGCAUGAUCGUGUAAAAUAUGAAAAGGAAUUGGCAUUUAAACAAGAUAUGGAGCGUGCUAAAAUCAAGUUGCAACAAGAACGUAUAGAGUUGGUUAGGGAAGGAAAGAUCUCAGGGGAGAGUUUGUUUUGGGAAGGUGACCCAGAUUUACCUAGGGGUAGUUCUGCUUUUGGUCGUGCCCCAGAGACAUUUGAUAUUGUUGGGAACUUACGGUUAUUGCCUCAGUUUAAUGAAAAGGACCCCGAGACAUUCUUUUCGUUGUUUGAGCGGGUUGCUGACGCUAGGAGUUGGCCUGAUUCUGACCGCACUUUAAUGUUGCAGUGUGUGCUGACUGGUAAAGCACAGGAAGCAUAUUCAGCUCUUAGUGCACUAGACAGUACCAGUUAUGAUAAAGUUAAAACAGCUGUGUUACAGAUUUAUGAACUGGUCCCUGAGGCUUACCGCCAACGAUUUAGAACUUUAAAAAGGGAUGAUAAGCAGACUCAUGUUGAGUUUGCGCGACAGUUAUCUUUACAGUUUAAUCGCUGGUGUUCCGCAUCUGCAGUUGUGACUUUCCAAGGGCUGUGUGAUCUGAUUAUGUUAGAGCAAUUUAAGGACACAAUUCCUGAUCGUAUUGCCACGUAUAUUAACGAACAGAAAGUAAAGAAUGUUGCUGAAGCUGCGGUUUUGGCGGACGAGUAUGUGUUGACUCACAAAAGUGCCUUUGUAGAGCCCCGUAUUCGGAAAGAGUGGGGGCGUUCGGAUAGAUUUGGGCUUCGCUCACCGAGACACUUUGGUUCACGGGCAGAGUUCUAUUCAACUAGGGUUGAGCCUGACUCCCAUGGUAAAGCUGACUUUGGGCAGGAGUGUCACUACUGUCAAGGUUCAGGUCAUUGGAAAAACGAAUGUCCACUUCUCAGGUCAAAGGGUGCUUAUGCUAAAUCUAAGCCUACCGCGUUAGCUGCACCUGUUCCACAUCAGUUCACUCAUGACUCAUUUUCUCAAGCCCAGGAGAAUGU